UACGUAGGGGGCAAGCGUUGUCCGGAUUUAUUGGGCGUAAAGAGCUCGUAGGCGGUUUGGUAAGUCGGGUGUGAAAUCUCCACGCUCAACGUGGAGGGGCCACUCGAUACUGCCAUGACUCGAGUCCGGUAGAGGAGUGUGGAAUUCCCGGUGUAGCAGUGAAAUGCGUAGAGAUCGGGAGGAACAUCAGUUGCGAAGGCGGCUCUCUGGACCAGCACUGACACUGAGGCACGAAAGCGUGGGGAGCAAACAGG
rnacentral:rRNA from 1 species